AACGCACAUUGCGCCCAUUAGUAUUCUAGUGGGCAUGCCUGUUCGAGCGUCAUUAAGUCCACUUAAGCCUAGCUUAGUGUUGGGAGACUGCUCUAGCGGUGCUACCCUGUAGCUACCCUGCAGCUCCUUAAAGACAGCGGCGGAGUCGUGUUUAUCCUCUGAGCUUAGUAAAUCAUUCUAGCUUUCGAGAGUAUCACUUCACCUGCCGUUAAACCACCCAAUUUUUAUGGUUGACCUCGGAUCAGGUAGGAAUACCCGCUGAACUUAA
rnacentral:misc_RNA from 1 species